rnacentral:miRNA from 1 species
CAUCACCCUCAGCAUUCUCAAC